rnacentral:lncRNA from 1 species
UUAGUUUUUUUUUUAAGAACAUCCAUACUUUUCUCCAUAGUGCUUAUACUAAUUUACUUUCCCACCAACAAUGUACAGGUUCACCUUUCUCUGCAUCCUCACCAGCAUCCACUUUUGCCUGUAUUUAGGUGUGUUUUUUUUUUUUUUUUUUGAGGCGGGGGGGAAUUACUGCCUAUAUUUUGGAUAAAAGUCAUGUUAAUUGGAUGAGAGGUUAUCUCAUUGCAGUUUUGAUUUGCCUUUCUAAUACCAGGAAAAAUAGUUUGCACUUUGUCCCUCAUGGCUGGCUGUGUUGCAGGUGAAUUUUUAAUAUCUGUCAGAUUUUUUUUUAUUUUUUAUUUUAACUUUUUACAUAUUUUUGUUGAACUUUUUUUUAAUCUUAAUAGCUUUUGGGGUACAAGUGGUUUUCUUGGUUACGUGGAUUAAUUGUAGAUUGUCAGAAUCUGAGAUUUUAGUGCAUCCAUCACCUGAGUAGUGUACAUUGUACCCAAUCUAUAGUUUUUACCCCUUACCCCACCCCACUCCCCCUUCUGAGUCCCCAUAGUCCAUUAUACCACUCUGUAUGCCUUUGCGUGCCCAUAGCUUAGCCCCUACUUACAAGUGAGAACAUACAGUGUUAGCUUUUCUAUUCCUGGGUUACUUCAUUUAGAAUAG